AGUGAACGCUGGCGGUAGGCCUAACACAUGCAAGUCGAACGGCAGCACAGUAAGUGCUUGCUCUUACGGGUGGCGAGUGGCGGACGGGCGAGGAAUACAUCGGAAUCUACUUUUUCGUGGGUGAUAACGUAGGGAAACUUACUCUAAUACCGCAUACGACCUACGGGUGAAAGCAUGGGAUCUUCUGACCUUGCGCGAUUGAAUGAGCCGAUGUGGGAUUAGCUAGUUGGCUGGGUAAAGGCCCACCAAGGCGACGAUCCGUAGCUGGUCUGAGAGGAUGAUCAGCAACACUGGAACUGAGACACGGACCAGAGUACUACGGGAGGCAGCAGUGGGGAAUAUUGGACAAUGGGCGAAAGCAUGAUACAGCAAUACCGCGUGGGUGAAGAAGGCCUUCGGGUUGUAAAGCCCUUUUGUUGGGAAAGAAAAGCAGCAGGUUAAUACCCCGCUGUUAUGACGGUAACAAAAGAAUAAGCACCGGCUAACUUCGUG
rnacentral:rRNA from 1 species